GACGAACGCUGGCGGCGUGCUUAACACAUGCAAGUCGAACGGAAAGGCCCUGCUUUUGUGGGGUGCUCGAGUGGCGAACGGGUGAGUAACACGUGAGUAACCUGCCCUUGACUUUGGGAUAACUUCAGGAAACUGGGGCUAAUACCGGAUAGGAGCUCCUGCUGCAUGGUGGGGGUUGGAAAGUUUCGGCGGUUGGGGAUGGACUCGCGGCUUAUCAGCUUGUUGGUGGGGUAGUGGCUUACCAAGGCUUUGACGGGUAGCCGGCCUGAGAGGGUGACCGGCCACAUUGGGACUGGGAUACGGCCCAGACUCCUACGGGAGGCAGCAGUGGGGAAUAUUGCACAAUGGGCGGAAGCCUGAUGCAGCAACGCCGCGUGCGGGAUGACGGCCUUCGGGUUGUAAACCGCUUCCGCCUGUGACGAAGCGUGAGUGACGGUAAUGGGUAAAGAAGCACCGGCUAACUACGUG
rnacentral:rRNA from 1 species